UAACACGUAAGUAAUCUACCUUUGAGUGGGGAAUAACAGUCGGAAACGACUGCUAAUACCGCAUAAUGCAGCGGCAUCGCAAGAUGACAGUUGUUAAAGAUUUAUCGCUUGAAGAGGAGCUUGCGGCAGAUUAGCUAGUUGGUAAGGUAAUGGCUUACCAAGGCUACGAUCUGUAACCGGUCUAAGAGGACGGUCGGUCACACUGACACUGAAUAACGGGUCAG
rnacentral:rRNA from 1 species